rnacentral:rRNA from 1 species
AUUGAACGCUGGCGGCAGGCCUAACACAUGCAAGUCGAACGAGUGGCGGCCGGGUGAGUAAUGUCUGGGAAGCUGCCUGACGGAGGGGGAUCACUACUGGAAACGGUAGCUAAUACCGCAUACCAUCGGAUGUGCCCAGAUGGGAUUUGCUAGUAGGUGGGGUAACGGCUCACCUAGGCGACGAUCCCUAGCUGGUCUGAGAGGAUGACCAGCCACACUGGAACGGAGACGCGGUCCAGACUCCUACGGGAGGCAGCAGUGGGGAAUAUGGCACAAUGGGCGCAAGGCUGAUGAAGCCAUGCCGCGUGUAUGAAGAAGGCCUUCGGGUGGUAAAGUACUUUCAGCGGAGAGGCGUUACCCGCAGAAGAAGCACCGGCUAACUCCGUGCCAGCAGCCGCGGUAAUAC